AUAGUGGUUCCUAGCUUCUUGACUCCGAUUCUUGGAGAACUUUUUUCGGUAACAUGACUCCGAUAAAUGGAUGGGGGGAGUACUAAUAUACUACAAGUUUAGAACAUGAAACUUGUGUCAAUGGUUUUCUAUUCAAAGGUGCAUUUGACAAUAUAUUGAUUCAUUUGUAGAUGACAACAUAUAGUAAGAUAAAUUGGCAAUCAAAAUCUAUUUGGCUUGACUUGUUUUUCAAUGAUCAAAAUACGCCUAUCAUUCCGGGCCAGGAAUUUUAUACUAUUAAUUGGAGGUUCUUAAUGGAGACUCCAAGUUAAUCCUAAAAAUAUGUACUAGAUAAAAAGAUAAAUACAAUAACUUUAAAAAUCAGAAAGAUCUAACACCAUUAAUUCGAUAGAUUCUAAUCGUCGUUUGAUCUAUUCUACUUUAAAAAAAAUCAUCCAACUCCACCAAAUGAAAAGCAACAUAAAGUAACCAUUAAAUCCACAUCUAAAUUACCCACAUCUACCAUUUUGAAAAAAAAAACAUAAAAUAACCACAUAAUACUUGAAAGCCCAAGUUUGGUUUUGGUAAUUAAUGACACCAAGUUGCUAAUGCUUUAUGUUUAAGUGAUUAGAGAUAGGCAUAGCAACACAUGUGACGAAGGUGCAUGGUGGCAUGGGAAGGUGGCCACAUGAUCACAAAGAGAUGAAGCAUGAAGUGGAGAUCAUGAUGAUAGACAAGGGAGAAAGUGAACAAAGCAAAGCUAUAAACAUAGGGUUUUACUUUUGCCGGUCUAAGAUGAGUAGAGAAGUGAUUGACUAAAUUUAGGAU
rnacentral:lncRNA from 1 species